CUGGCGGCACGCCUAACACAUGCAAGUCGAACGAAGUAGCAAUACUUAGUGGCAGACGGGUGAGUAACAUGUAGGUAUCUACCCUUUGGCCUGGAAUAACACGAGGAAACUUGUGCUAAUACCGGAUAAGUCUUUACGGAGAAAGCUUUAUGCACCAUUGGAUGAGCCUGCACUUGAUUAGUUUGUUGGUGGGGUAAUGGCCUACCAAGACUGUGAUCAAUAGCUGAUUUGAGAGGAUGAUCAGCCACAUUGGGACUGAGACACGGCCCAAACUCCUACGGGAGGCAGCAGUGGGGAAUCUUGCACAAUGGAGGAAACUCUGAUGCAGCGAUGCCGCGUGAGUGAAGAAGGCCUUUGGGUUGUAAAGCUCUUUCGUCGGGGAAGAAAAUGACUGUACCCGAAUAAGAAGGUCCGGCUAACU
rnacentral:rRNA from 1 species